GUCAAGGGGAGACACAAACCAGUGAGCUGGGAUAGACUCUUCUAGAAAACAUCUCGGGGCACCUGGGCAGCUGGUCGGCUAAGUAACAUAAGAAUGACUAGAAGGCUCAGAAUGGCGGGACCAAGUUGGAAGCAGCCGGAGUCCUCAAGUCCCUGCACAGAGGGCAGAUACUUGGAGCAGAGCUAUCCAAGAAGUAGCCCAACCUGCAUCCUAUGACCUGAAUGGGAAAUAAACUUUUAUUUUAUUUU